AGAUAACGACAUGCACUUGCGCUGGAAGAUUAUGUCAUAUUGAAGGAUUUUGUUGUCUGAAGAUAAUAUUGUCUAAUGACAGUUAUUAAUUGCCAAAUAGUUGUCUUCAUUCCAGCCGCGAUUUUACUUUGGACAUCAAGUAGCAACCCAACACUACCAAAAUCAUCAAAAAUGUUCUAAAAAUCUCAAUAAAUGAACUGAGCUUCAGUUGGUUUUUGGGUCAUGAACCACCACUUGAGGACCAGUCUGCUAUCACACCUGUCCCAAUU